rnacentral:rRNA from 1 species
CCACUCCUACGGGGCGCAGCAGUGGGGAAUAUUGCACAAUGGGGGGAACCCUGAUGCAGCGACGCCGCGUGAGUGAAGAAGUAUUUCGGUAUGUAAAGCUCUAUCAGCAGGGAAGAAAAUGACGGUACCUGACUAAGAAGCCCCGGCUAACUACGUGCCAGCAGCCGCGGUAAUACGUAGGGGGCAAGCGUUAUCCGGAUUUACUGGGUGUAAAGGGAGCGUAGGCGGCAGGGCAAGCCUGAUGUGAAAGCCCGGGGCUC